rnacentral:rRNA from 1 species
UAUCCCACUAUAUUGUUCGCCAGAGUACUACAAGCGCUAGCUUAAAACCCAAAGGACUUGGCGGUAUCCCAUACCCACCUAGAGGAGCCUGUUCUAUAACCGAUAAUCCCCGUUCAACCUCACCACUCCUUGCCAUUACCGUCUAUAUACCGCCGUCGUCAGCCCACCCUGUGAAGGAUCAAAAGUAAGCAAAAAGAAUAAAACUCCAAAACGUCAGGUCGAGGUGUAGCAAAUGAAGUGGGAAGAAAUGGGCUACAUUUUUUUCCAAAAAUAUACGAAUGGUAAACUGAAAACACACCUAAAGGUGGAUUUAGCAGUAAGAGGAGAUCAGAAUACUCCUCUGAAAUCGGCUCUGGGAUAAGCACACACCGCCCGUCACUCUCCUCAAAAGUAACUCACUCCCUUCCAUAAACACAUUUCUACAAUAAGAGGAGGCAAGUCGUAACAUGGUAAGUGUACUGGAAAGUGCACUUGGAAUC